ensembl:lncRNA
GGGACUAGUUUGUAGGAGGGGAGGGUAGGGGUUAAGGGACUAGUUUGUAGGAGGGUAGGGGUUAAGGAAGGGGACUAGUCUGGGAGGGUAGGGUUUGAGGAAGGGGACUAGUUUGAGGAAGGGGACUAGUUUGUAGGAGGGUAGGGUUUGAGGAAGGGGACUAGUUUGAGGAAGGGGACUAGUUUGUAGGAGGGUAGGGUUAAGGAAGGGGAAUAGUUUGUGGGAGGGUAGGGGUUAAGGAAGGGGACUAGUGUGUAGGAGGGUAGGGGUUAAGGAAGGGGACUAGUUUGUAGGAGGGUAGGGGUUAAGGAAGGGGACUAGUUUGUGGGAGGGUAGGGGUUAAGGAAGGGGACUAGUUUGAGGAAGGGAACUAGUUUGAGGAAGGGGACUAGUUUGAGGAAGGGGACUAGUUUGUAGGAGGGUAGGGGUUAAGGAAGGGGACUAGUUUGUGGGAGGGUAGGGGUUAAGGAAGGGGACUAGUUUGUAGGAGGGUAGGGGGUUAAGGAAGGGGACUAGUUUGUGGGAGGGUAGGGGUUAAGGAAGGGGACUAGUUUGUAGGAGGGUAGGGGUUAAGGAAGGGGACUAGUGUGUAGGAGGGUAGGGGUUAAGGAAGGGGACUAGUGUGUAGUAGGGUAGGGGUUAAGGAAGGGGACUAGUCUGUGGGAGGGGAAGGGGACUAGUGUGUAGUAGGGCAGGGGUUAAGGAAGGGGACUAGUUUGUGGGAGGGUAGGGGUUAAGGAAGGGGACUAGUUUGUGGGAGGGUAGGGGUUAAGGAAGGGGACUAGUUUGUUGUAGGGUAGGGGUUAAGGAAGGGGACUAGUUUGUAGUAGGGUAUGGGUUAAGGAAGGGGACUAGUUUGUAGUAGGGUAGAGGGUUAAGGAAGGGGACUAGUUUGUUGUAGGGUAGGGUAGGGGUUAAGGAAGGGGACUAGUUUGUUGUAGGGGUUAAGGAAGGGGACUAGUUUGUAGUAGGGUAGGGGUUAAGGAAGGGGACUAGUUUGUGGGAGGGUAGGGGUUAAGGAAGGGGACUAGUUUGUUGUAGGGUAGGGUAGGGGUUAAGGAAGGGGACUAGUUUGUGGGAGGGUAGGGGUUAAGGAAGGGGACUAGUUUGUGGGAGGUUAGGGGUUAAGGAAGGGGACUAGUUUGUGGGAGGUUAGGGGUUAAGGAAGGGGACUAGUUUGUAGUAGGGUAGGGGUUAAGGAAGGGGACUAGUCUGCAGGAGGGUAGGGGUUAAGGAAGGGGACUAGUUUGUAGGGGUUAGGGAAGUGGACUAGUGUGUAGGAGGGCAGGGGUUAAGGAAGGGGACUAGUUUGUGGGAGGGUAGGGGUUAAGGAAGGGGACUAGUUUGUAGUAGGGUAGGGGUUAAGGAAGGGGACUAGUCUGCAGGAGGGUAGCGGUUAAGGAAGGGGACUAGUUUGUAGGGGUUAGGGAAGUGGACUAGUGUGUAGGAGGGUAUGGGACCCGGCUAGCACCUGAGUGGAAUAUAAAGACAGUACGGUCAACUCUUUACAUGUGCUCCUCUGAUCCUACUGAUGGACUUCCAGACUCAGUAUCCCAGAAGCACUACUGCUGCUCACCACGAUUGAGGAGCUGUCCUGUAGUUUAUGAAGGCAGUAGGGUAGAGUUGCACCCUUUCCCUUUGUCUAAUGUUUUUACAGGUUGAAAUGUCUCGCUUUGGCCAAACUCUGCUUCUCUCAGUCUCUGGCUAGCUAGCCAGGCUACUGUUUCUGUAUAGGACCAGGCUAGGAGAGUUAGCAUGACUACUGUCUCUGUAUAGGACCAGGCUAGGAGAGUUAGCAUGACUACUGUCUCUGUAUAGGACCAGGCUAGGAGAGUUAGCAUGACUACUGUCUCUGUAUAGGACCAGGCUAGGAGAGUUAGCAUGACUACUGUUUCUGUAUAGGACCAGGCUAGGAGAGUUAGCAUGACUACUGUUUCUGUAUAGGACCAGGCUAGGAGAGUUAGCAUGACUACUGUUUCUGUAUAGGACCAGGCUAGGAGAGUUAGCAUGACUACUGUCUCUGUAUAGGACCAGGCUAGGAGAGUUAGCAUGACUACUGUUUCUGUAUAGGACCAGGCUAGGAGAGUUAGCAUGACUACUGUUUCUGUAUAGGACCAGGCUAGGAGAGUUAGCAUGACUACUGUUUCUGUAUAGGACCAGGCUAGGA